GGUAUUACACAACAUAUUAUUAUUUUGAUUACAUACCUACUCUUUGCACAUUUUCAUCAAUCAAUGUGAAUCAAUGUAAUUUCUUCAAUCUUACAUACUUACAUAAAAUCACUGCAUAAAAUUAAAGUUGAACCUCGACAAUGAUACGGAGCAAAUUGGUACAGGUUUCUAACGUAGCCCGCAAUUUACGAGUUGUAGGCUUUUCUAGUGAUACGACGAAGGAUGUAGACACCACAUACAUGGAAAUUCCUGUCUAUGAUGUGGACAAGCCCCAAUCGUUAGAGAAUAGAAAAGCCAGAUUACAGUAUCAAUCGCGCAAAAGAGGCAUGCUGGAGAAUGAUCUACUUUUGAGUACCUUUGCUAAAAAAUACUUAGAUGGGUUUACAGAAGAGCAAACUAUGAUGUAUGAUCGCCUCAUCAACUCUCCAAGCAAUGACUGGGACAUAUUCUACUGGAUGGUGGGCAAACAGCCAACACCAAAAGAGUUUGAUAAUGAAAUUAUGAAUAUGCUGAAGAAACAUGCUAAAAAUGAAGAGCGAGUUACUCUGUCUCAACCACCACUAUACUAAUACUUCAAUUUAAUAAUAUCAUAAUAAUUAGUAUUAUUAGAAAAUAUAGAAAAAUGGAUAAAAUGUUUUAGUUCUUGAUAAAAAGAAAACCAAAAAGUUCCAACUGGAUUCAGAAGGCCCAUCCGUUUAACCAAUUUAUAUGUUUGGUACAGACGUAGUUUGCGUCCCAGAAAUGGCCAUAGGCGUUCCCCACGGGAUUGUUAAAAAACCUAAAUCCACGCGAACGAAGCCGCGGGCAUCAGUAUAAUCUGAAUAUCGGGUACGUACCACAGUUAAUAUGAUGAUUUGAUGAUGGCAUCAUAAUUAUUAAUCGUAGUAUGUACCUACUCGAUAUUUACAUUAUAUUUAACAAUGAAGUCUGAAACACGUAUUAAGUAAAUGUAUGUGUAAUAUACAUAUAUAUUUUUAAUGUAUUAAUUAUAUAAUUUAUUUAAUGGUUUUACGAUUGGUUUAAUGGAUUGAUUGGAUCAAUUUAAUUAUUGUUUGUCAAACAAUAUAGGUGGAUUGAUUAAUGGCAUAUAGACAGAAAAACAAUUAUUUAAGUAUUUAUAUAUUACUUUCUCUGGUCCAAUAACUCAACUGUAAUCCAGUUCCUUUAAUUUGGUACAAAAUAGGGUCCAAAAUAAGAACUUUGACUAUCGAAUUUCGACGUUUCAAUAAAAUUCGUAAAGGAAGUUAGUUGCUGAAUAUUCUGUCAGCCUGGCGCCGCCGUACCGCCAUAUUGUAUUACUGAUGACGUCAAAAUUUAUUCUGCUUCGUUAUUAGCGCUCGACUUAUUAUUGUGGAUUUAGGAGACCCAAACAUAUUGUAAGACGGAAAUAAAUGCCGUUUUGCUGUAAA